AUUGAACGCUGGCGGCAUGCUUUACACAUGCAAGUCGAACGGUAACAGGCCUUCGGGUGCUGACGAGUGGCGAACGGGUGAGUAAUGCAUCGGAACGUACCCAGAGGUGGGGGAUAACGCAGCGAAAGCUGUGCUAAUACCGCAUGUGAUCUGAGGAUGAAAGCGGGGGACCGAGCAGCAAUGUUUGGCCUCGCGCCUUUGGAGCGGCCGAUGUCGGAUUAGCUAGUUGGUGGGGUAAAGGCCUACCAAGGCGACGAUCCGUAGCUGGUCUGAGAGGACGAGCAGCCACACUGGAACUGAGACACGGCCCAGACUCCUACGGGAGGCAGCAGUGGGGAAUUUUGGACAAUGGGCGCAAGCCUGAUCCAGCAAUGCCGCGUGAGGGAAGAAGGCCUUCGGGUUGUAAAACGCUUUUGGCAGGAACGAAACGGUGUCCGCUAAUACCGGGCGCUAAUGACGGUACCUGCAGAAUAAGCACCGGCUAACUACGUG
rnacentral:rRNA from 1 species